rnacentral:rRNA from 1 species
UACAGAGGGGGCAAGCGUUGUUCGGAAUUACUGGGCGUAAAGGGCGCGUAGGCGGCCCGCUAAGUCGAACGUGAAAUCCCCGAGCUCAACUCGGGAACUGCGUCCGAUACUGGCGGGCUUGAAUCCGGGAGAGGGAUGUGGAAUUCCAGGUGUAGCGGUGAAAUGCGUAGAUAUCUGGAGGAACACCGGUGGCGAAGGCGGCAUCCUGGACCGGUAUUGACGCUGAGGCGCGAAAGCUAGGGGAGCAAACGGG